AACGCGAAGAACCUUACCAAGUCUUGACAUCCCCCUGACCGGUCCGUAACGGGAUCUUCUCUUCGGAGCAGGGGAGACAGGUGGUGCAUGGUUGUCGUCAGCUCGUGUCGUGAGAUGUUGGGUUAAGUCCCGCAACGAGCGCAACCCUUAUCUUUAGUAGCCAGCAUGUUGUGGUGGGCACUCUAGAGAGACUGCCAGGGAGAACCUGGAGGAAGGUGGGGAUGACGUCAAAUCAUCAUGCCCCUCAUGACUUGGGCUACACACGUGCUACAAUGGCGUAAACAAAGGGAAGCAGCCCUGUGAAGGUGAGCAAAUCCCAAAAAUAACGUCUCAGUUCGGAUUGUAGUCUGCAACUCGACUACAUGAAGCUGGAAUCGCUAGUAAUCGCGAAUCAGAAUGUCGCGGUGAAUACGUUCCCGGGUCUUGUACACACCG
rnacentral:rRNA from 1 species